rnacentral:rRNA from 1 species
AACGUAGGAGACAAACGUUAUCCGGAGUUACUGGGCGUAAAGGGCGUGUAGGUGGUUUCGUAAGUCUGGCGUGAAAUUUUUCGGCUUAACCGGGAAAGGUCGUCGGAUACUGCAGAACUAGAGGACGGUAGAGGCGUGUGGAAUUCCGGGUGUAGCGGUGAAAUGCGUAGAUAUCUGGAGGAACACCGGUGGCGAAGGCGGCAUCCUGGACCGGUAUUGACGCUGAGGCGCGAAAGCCAGGGGAGCAAACGGG